rnacentral:misc_RNA from 1 species
GUGAAUCAUCAAAUUUUUGAACGCAAAUUGCACUCUCUGGUAUUCCGGAGAGUAUGCCUGUUUGAGGGUCAGUUUUAAUAAAAAUCGGUGUGGUUGCUGCCUUUCGUGGUGACUCACCGGAUUUGGGUCGUCUUGCCUUCGGCUAAGUGCCCUAAAGUUUCGCAUGAUUUCUCUCGAAUGUA